ACCUGGCUGGCUCAGUCAGUAGAACAUGAGACUCUUGAUCUUGGGUUUGUGAGUUUGAGCCCCAUGUUAGGUG
rnacentral:tRNA from 1 species